GUUUUGCUUGAAGGAAUUCGUAGACAGGAGGAGGGAUUCCUCUGUGAAUCAACUGAGUGGUGGACUCCAAAGCGCUCGCUCUCGGUCGCUCGGAGGAGGGGUGGCAGAAACUGCGAUGGAUGUGAGAAUUUUUUCUUGAAUCUUAUGAGAUCAAUCUAGUUCGAUAACACAUCGAAGGCCUUAAAAGAGAAGGAAAAGGAGCAACGGUGCCCGAGCCAGAGUCAAGAGUCGACUGCAGCUAUGAUAUGAAGGAUGCGGAAAAACCUUUAUUGAUGUUGGUGUUUUGAGAAAGCGUUCUCAUAUCCAUGACAUCUUUUAGCAGGGGUUUGACUUAAAUGAAGUUGUGUUUUAGAUGAUGCAGAGCAUCUUGUGGCUAUUUUUUUAGAUCUCCCAUUUUCUCUUUUCGAUUUAUUUGUUUUUAAUGUCGGUGAAAGACCUAUUGAGUUGUAAUCCUUGUUGAUCUUGAAAUACAAAAGUUACCGUAUUAGUUUCU